UAUACCGUGAAACUGCGAAUGGCUCAUUAAAUCAGUUAUCGUUUAUUUGAUAGUACCUUACUACUUGGAUAACCGUGGUAAUUCUAGAGCUAAUACAUGCUGAAAACCCCGACUUCGGGAGGGGUGUAUUUAUUAGAUAAAAAACCAACGCCCUUCGGGGCUUCUUGGUGAUUCAUGAUAACUUCACGGAUCGCAUGGCCUUGCGCCGGCGACGGUUCAUUCAAAUUUCUGCCCUAUCAACUUUCGAUGGUAAGGUAUUGGCUUACCAUGGUUUCAACGGGUAACGGGGAAUUAGGGUUCGAUUCCGGAGAGGGAGCCUGAGAAACGGCUACCACAUCCAAGGAAGGCAGCAGGCGCGCAAAUUACCCAAUCCCGACACGGGGAGGUAGUGACAAUAAAUACUGAUACAGGGCUCUUUUGGGUCUUGUAAUUGGAAUGAGUACAAUUUAAACCUCUUAACGAGGAACAAUUGGAGGGCAAGUCUGGUGCCAGCAGCCGCGGUAAUUCCAGCUCCAAUAGCGUAUAUUAAAGUUGUUGCAGUUAAAAAGCUCGUAGUUGAAACUUGGGCCUGGCUGGCAGGUCCGCCUCACCGCGUGUACUUGUCCGGCCGGGCCUUUCCUUCUGGAGAACCUCAUGCCCUUCACUGGGUGUGUUGGGGAACCAGGACUUUUACUUUGAAAAAAUUAGAGUGUUCAAAGCAGGCCUUUGCUCGAAUACGUUAGCAUGGAAUAAUAGAAUAGGACGUGCGGUCCUAUUUUGUUGGUUUCUAGGACCGCCGUAAUGAUUAAUAGGGACAGUCGGGGGCAUCAGUAUUCAAUUGUCAGAGGUGAAAUUCUUGGAUUUAUUGAAGACUAACUACUGCGAAAGCAUUUGCCAAGGAUGUUUUCAUUAAUCAGUGAACGAAAGUUAGGGGAUCGAAGACGAUCAGAUACCGUCGUAGUCUUAACCGUAAACUAUGCCGACUAGGGAUCGGGCGAUGUUCUUUUUCUGACUCGCUCGGCACCUUACGAGAAAUCAAAGUU
rnacentral:rRNA from 4 species